ACCUGCAAAGGCCACCAAUUCUUAAAUAAUUGCAGGUUGUCAGUUGAUCGACAAGGCAUGGGAAAGUUUCGAGGAUGUCCAGGUUAAAGAUCGGAGUUUGAUAUGGAACUCUGAUCUGAUAGAGACAAUAGAACUGGAGAACCUUUCUGAUAAACGCGUCCAUAACAAUGCAUUCAGCGGAAGCACGAAAGGAAAGCAGAGGAGCACAUGCUCGGGAGGAUUUCACGAAAAGGGAGGAUGGAGAAUGGAUGAAGCAUACAUUGGGGUAUUGGGAAGAUGAGAAAGUGAGGUUGGAGUAUAGGCCUGUUCACAUGGACACUCUCGACGAUGAGCUUGAGACUUUCCCUCCCAAAGCUCGCGUCUAUUGAUUUCUCUUCCCUCAAACAAGCAAGCUCAUCGGAAUAAUAAUAUCAGAAGAAAAAGAGGGAACUAGGAGAAUACACAAAGGAGCGUUCCUCGUCCUCUGAGUUUUACAUUUUUACACCUGAAUGGUUGCGAGUAAUAAAAUGAGAAAAACCGUUAAUUUGGUUGGUAUAAUUCUCUUUGAUAUCACUUUCUUGUUAGCA